CAGUAGCCGCGGGAAUACGAAGGGGGCUAGCGUUGUUCGGAAUUACUGGGCGUAAAGCGCACGUAGGCGGAUAUUUAAGUCAGGGGUGAAAUCCCAGAGCUCAACUCUGGAACUGCCUUUGAUACUGGGUAUCUUGAGUAUGGAAGAGGUGAGUGGAAUUCCGAGUGUAGAGGUGAAAUUCGUAGAUAUUCGGAGGAACACCAGUGGCGAAGGCGGCUCACUGGUCCAUUACUGACGCUGAGGCUCGAAAGCGUGGGGAGCAAACAGGAUUAGAUACCCCUGUAGUCCCUGUCUCUUAUAC
rnacentral:rRNA from 1 species